GGGGUGCUGGGGUGCACAGGGAGGCGCUGUACCAGGAGAGGAGUAGGGCCUUGGGUACAGCAGUGGGUACAGAAAGACAGAGUGUGGCUGUCCUGCCUCCUUUCCUCCCACUUUCCCUCAGAUGCUCCCUUGACUGGACCUGAGAGAUGCCCCGCGUGGGUGAGUGCUCCCCAUUCCUGGCGCUGCGCCUCUCCCCUCCCCGGAAAUGCCCACGCUCAGCAGCAGCUCUGCCAUGCCCUCUGGGUAGUGUUUUUCAUUUCAGGCUGGGGAUCCGGUGGUGGAAAGCAGGUCGGAAGCCAUGUUUCUGGGGGUUAAUGAAAAAUAUAUAUAUUUAGUGCUUACAGAAAGCCAAAUAUUGGGUUAGAAGCCAGGAACGGAGAGGGAAAAAACCCAAAGCAAACAGCAGAGGGAAGAAAUUCCUACUAAACAAGCUUUCUAUUCAUUCUCCUCAUCCCAGGUGCAGAGCCCGCAGGGAGAACUCAGACGAAAUGGAGGACUUUAAGACCCCAAGCUCAGAUUCUAUAACGCCCACGGGACCAAGAGGUGUGCAACCUCCCCGCCUCCCCGCAAAAUGUGUCCGUAUCUGGUUGGCCAUAGCACCCCAAAGGUCGUUAAGGUGGCUCUAAAACCCCUUUGGGCGUGAGGAAGAAAAAUAAAAUAAAAUAAACUGCUCCUCGUUUGACCCU
rnacentral:lncRNA from 1 species